CUUGGUCAUUUAGAGGAAGUAAAAGUCGUAACAAGGUCUCCGUAGGUGAACCUGCGGAGGGAUCAUUACUGAGUGAGGGCCUUCGGGCUCGACCUCCAACCCUUUGUGAACACAACUUGUYGCUUCGGGGGCGACCCUGCCGUUUCGACGGCGAGCGCCCCCGGAGGCCUUCAAACACUGCAUCUUUGCGUCGGAGUUUAAGUAAAUUAAACAAAACUUUCAACAACGGAUCUCUUGGUUCUGGCAUCGAUGAAGAACGCAGCGAAAUGCGAUAAGUAAUGUGAAUUGCAGAAUUCAGUGAAUCAUCGAAUCUUUGAACGCACAUUGCGCCCCUUGGUAUUCCGAGGGGCAUGCCUGUUCGAGCGUCAUUUCACCACUCAAGCCUCGCUUGGUAUUGGGCGCCGCGGUGUUCCGCGCGCCUCAAAGUCUCCGGCUGAGCUGUCCGUCUCUAAGCGUUGUGAUUUCAUUAAUCGCUUCGGAGCGCGGGCGGUCGCGGCCGUUAAAUCUUUCACAAGGUUGACCUCGGAUCAGGUAGGGAUACCCGCUGAACUUAAGCAUAUCAAUAAGCGGAGGA
rnacentral:rRNA from 1 species